AGACCCGAAACCCGGUGAUCUAGCCAUGGGCAGGUUGAAGGUUGGGUAACACUAACUGGAGGACCGAACCGACUAAUGUUGAAAAAUUAGCGGAUGACCUGUGGCUGGGGGUGAAAGGCCAAUCAAACCGGGAGAUAGCUGGUUCUCCCCGAAAGCUAUUUAGGUAGCGCCUCGUGAAUUCAUCUCCGGGGGUAGAGCACUGUUUCGGCUAGGGGGCCAUCCCGGCUUACCAACCCGAUGCAAACUGCGAAUACCGGAGAAUGUUAUCACGGGAGACACACGGCGGGUGCUAACGUCCGUCGUGAAGAGGGAAACAACCCAGACCGCCAGCUAAGGUCCCAAAGUCAUGGUUAAGUGGGAAACGAUGUGGGAAGGCCCAGACAGCCAGGAUGUUGGCUUAGAAGCAGCCAUCAUUUAAAGAAAGCGUAAUAGCUCACUGGUCGAGUCGGCCUGCGCGGAAGAUGUAACGGGGCUAAACCAUGCACCGAAGCUGCGGCAGCGACGCUUAUGCGUUGUUGGGUAGGGGAGCGUUCUGUAAGCCUGUGAAGGUGGCCUGUGAGGGUUGCUGGAGGUAUCAGAAGUGCGAAUGCUGACAUAAGUAACGAUAAAGCGGGUGAAAAGCCCGCUCGCCGGAAGACCAAGGGUUCCUGUCCAACGUUAAUCGGGGCAGGGUGAGUCGACCCCUAAGGCGAGGCCGAAAGGCGUAGUCGAUGGGAAACGGGUUAAUAUUCCCGUACUUGGUGUUACUGCGAAGGGGGGACGGAGAAGGCUAUGUUGGCCGGGCGACGGUUGUCCCGGUUUAAGCGUGUAGGUGUGUGUU
rnacentral:rRNA from 1 species